rnacentral:lncRNA from 1 species
UAUCCAAAUUUGAGAUCCCUCGGAGCAGUAUAACUCCAGAAAUCCAGGUAUGAUGAAUGACUGGUUAUUAUUUUUCUGUCAACCCGUCAGAUUUGUUGUGAGCUUCGAAACUCCAUUUUCUAUUGUUCAGAUCGGCAUGCUUUCUUCCUUGAAGUUGUUCCUCAUCGUCUCUUUCAUAACAUAUCAAAAAUUCAGAAUGAACUAAUGGUUAAAUAUUUCCAGAUCUUUGAAACAUCACAGCAGCUUCGAAAUCUGCAAGAAUCCGACUGUCAUGUUUGGAGCUUCAACACUUUAAUUUCCGUCGCUCAAACAGAAAUGGUUCCUUCUUGAAAGUUGUUCAUAUGCUCAAGAACUAUAGGGUGUCCAAAAUUCAACUCCAUUGGAGAAGAGCAGAGGUUGCAGAAAUUUGAUAGAUGAAAGGAGGCGGAAGAGGGGAGAGAGAGAAAAAGUCUCUUGGGUUGGAUUUCUAUUUUGGGGGCAGAUUCCAAUUUUUGUAGCACCUUCAUUAUUGAUGAAUUGCUUGUACUUUUGUCCAUUAUGAAACUUGGGACUUUGGCUUGUUGUUGGAUCUAUUAUAAUAUGUUUGGGAACAUAUAUAAGUGAAUAAAUAAGAAGGAAAAUUUU